UACGGAGGGGGCGAGCGUUGUUCGGAAUCAUUGGGCGUAAAGGGCGCGUAGGCGGCCGUCCAAGUCGGGUGUGAAAUCCCUCGGCUCAACCGAGGAACUGCACUCGAUACUGGUCGGCUAGAGUCCGGGAGGGGAUGGUGGAAUUCCCAGUGUAGCGGUGAAAUGCGUAGAUAUUGGGAAGAACACCGGUGGCGAAGGCGGCCAUCUGGACCGGAACUGACGCUGAGGCGCGAAAGCGUGGGGAGCAAACAGG
rnacentral:rRNA from 1 species